UACGUAGGGUGCAAGCGUUGUCCGGAAUUAUUGGGCGUAAAGAGCUCGUAGGCGGUUUGUCGCGUCUGCCGUGAAAGUCCGGGGCUCAACUCCGGAUCUGCGGUGGGUACGGGCAGACUAGAGUGUGGUAGGGGAGAUUGGAAUUCCUGGUGUAGCGGUGGAAUGCGCAGAUAUCAGGAGGAACACCGAUGGCGAAGGCAGAAUCUCUGGGCCAUUACUGACGCUGAGGAGCGAAAGCGUGGGGAGCGAACAGG
rnacentral:rRNA from 1 species